UCUGUUUGUUUAACACGGAAAUGGUAGGUUUUGCAAUGAGCAUGUGCUUUUCUUUAUCAGGGUUGUAUUUAAAUGAAUGUUUUGAAAUACAUGACAGUCUCUUCACCAUUGGCUAGAUACCUUGAAAUUUGAUGGAGGUAGGAAAGGGAAGGGACAGAGACUUCUAGUCCGUUCCCCAAAUCUCAUGCUCACCUUUCUGUGAAGAAGCUGACUUUGCCCUUUGCUGCUGGCUGAGUGAUUAAUGCAUGUCAAAUUGAUGCAAGUAGAUGGUUCUUCUUCCCCCUCCCCCCCCCCCUUGCUUUGAUAUCCUCCACCGGUUCAGGCAGUGCUGUGCUUACUUUUCCAAACCUGACCCUCUACCUCCUGUUAUCCCAUACAGACCGAGAAGGCAGGGGAGUGCUACCAAGGUGUGCUAGAAGGUAACAACAAUUAAUGCUGAGAAGAAAGUUGUGUUGGGCUUUUCCUCCAGAAUUCCCUGCAUAUGAGCCUGGAUCCAGUUUGUGCCUGUUUGUCACAGAACUAAGCCCACACUUCAGGAAAUUGGCAAGAACUGUAUAACGAUGCCUCUUGAGACACCAGGUUUUGGCUAUGCACAUUUUGUACUUCUCAUUUCCAUGGAAAGCUGUAUCGACUGAUCACAACACAGAAAUUCUUCCAGACCCUCUCUUCUGCCAAAGGUGUCUUAAUUUAUCCUUGACUUCAGCCCUUUUCACUUUUUAAUUCCUUAUU